GGGAAAUUGUUGAAAGGGAAACGCUUGAAGUCAGACUUGUUAUUUGGAAUUCAGCCGCAAGGUGUACUUUUCAAUUUACAGGCCAGCAUCAGUUUUCGGGGGUGGAAAAGGGUUAGGAAAAGGUAGCAGUUUCGGCUGUGUUAUAGUUCUUGGCUGGAUUCAUCUUUGGGGACUGAGGAACGCAGUGUGCCGCAAGGCAAGGCUCUCGAGUCUUUCACACUUAGGAUGCUGGUGGAAUGGCUUUAAACGACCCGUCUUGAAACACGGACCAAGGAGUCUAACAUGCUUGCGAGUGUUUGGGUGUCAAACCCGGACGCGCAAUGAAAGUGAAUGGAGGUGGGAUCCGCAAGGAGCACCAUCGACCGAUCCGGAUUUUUUAAGAUGGAUUUGAGUAAGAGCAAUUAUGUUGGGACCCGAAAGAUGGUGAACUAUACCUGAAUAGGGCGAAGCCAGAGGAAACUCUGGUGGAGGCUCGUAGCGGUUCUGACGUGCAAAUCGAUCGUCAAAUUUGGGUAUAGGGGCGAAAGACUAAUCGAACCAUUAAUUUUAGUAAUUACAUGUUCAUGUUACUAGGUGGUUAAGAGGCGAGGUGAUGGCACCUACGUCUAGUGAGUGUGAUGCUUGCUAUACUCGUAAAUUGUUCGGGGACAGCGUAAAGCUUAACAUACCGUUUAGUCUUCGAAAGUUGAUUAAACACCCUUAGCCAAAGGGGUGGUAAAAAUUGUUAAGAUGAGUUAAUUUCUUUUUCAAAGAAGUUAAUGAAAUUGC
rnacentral:rRNA from 1 species